rnacentral:rRNA from 1 species
AGGCUCUUGAUCCUGGCUCAGGAUGAACGCUGGCGGCGUGCCUAACACAUGCAAGUCGAGCGAUUCUCUUAGGAGAAGAGCGGCGGACGGGUGAGUAACGCGUGGGUAACCUGCCCUGUACACACGGAUAACAUACCGAAAGGUAUGCUAAUACGGGAUAACAUAUUUUGAUGGCAUCAUCGAAAUAUCAAAGCUCCGGCGGUACAGGAUGGACCCGCGUCUGAUUAGCUAGUUGGUGAGGUAAUGGCUCACCAAGGCGACGAUCAGUAGCCGACUGAGAGGGUGAUCGGCCACAUUGGAACUGAGACACGGUCCAAACUCCUACGGGAGGCAGCAGUGGGGAAUAUUGCACAAUGGGCGAAAGCCUGAUGCAGCAACGCCGCGUGAGCGAUGAAGGCCUUCGGGUCGUAAAGCUCUGUCCUCAAGGAAGAUAAUGACGGUACUUGGGGAGGAAGCCCCGGCAUA